rnacentral:rRNA from 1 species
UACGGAGGAUGCAAGCGUUAUCCGGAAUGAUUGGGCGUAAAGGGUCCGCAGGUGGAAUUUCAAGUCUGCUGUCAAAGCGUGAAGCUUAACUUCAUAAAGGCAGUGGAAACUGAGAAUCUAGAGUACGUUCGGGGCAGAGGGAAUUCCCAGUGUAGCGGUGAAAUGCGUAGAUAUUGGGAAGAACACCAGUGGCGAAAGCGCUCUGCUAGGCCUGUACUGACAAUGAGGGACGAAAGAUAGGGGAGCGAAUGGG